UUUGAUUGAGGUUCGAAAAUUUGAAUGACACAGCAACACCUUCCUUCAUCGUUACUUCCACCAGUGUGAUGUUAGAAAGCAAGGAGGGGUGACGUGCUGCCAGGGACUCCUACAGGUACUGGAUUCAAGAAUUUUUGCACGUGAGAGCCGUGUCGUGGUUUCCAAGGAUAGCAACUCCGUCAUUCCAUCCUCUGACCAUUGCCAACUCCAGGAGAAGGAACACGCGAAAUGAUUGGUGGUGGUGGUUACAAGUUCCUACAAAAUAGCAGCUGAUCUUUCGAGUUUACUGAUUACAAAUUCUUGUAAUUCACCACCACGGUCGCCUGUUGGUCUCCCAGCCAGUCUUCCCCAUUACGGAGCGAGCUUACAGCUCAUAGACCGAUCUUCAGAUGCUGAUUCAUACACUUCUGAACUUCCCUUGCCCUAGUGGGACCAGCAUCCAGAUGACUGUCCAGGACUUCUUGGCUACAAUGAAGACAAAGUGGCACGCGCGUAAGAAACUGGUCUGGAAUCGAAAGGUUCCUGAGUUUCCCCUGCAUCAAUUGGAUACCAUACUGCUCUCCCUAGGCUGAAAAGGACGACACAAGUAGCCUAUUGCGAGGACUAAGUAAAUGAAGACCAAAAAAAGUGGCCUCCAAAAAAUUAUAAAAUGCUGGACUGAAGAGGAACAAAAAAGUAGUCUAGAAGUUAGUAAAAGAGGCUGAAGUUAGUAAGAAGUAAAAGAGGCUGAAGUUAGUAAGAGGCUUUAUUGUAUGUGUAUACUGCACUAAGUCAAAAAUACUCCGAAGAUAUUAUUAAUAAUAAUAGUGAAGUACUAACUCCGAAGAUAUUAUUAUAAUAGUGUAGUACUAAAAAACACUAAUACUCUAAUUACAAAACAUCUGUAGUAUUUUUGGCGUUUUGCUCAUCUUCAGCCUUGGGAGAGCAGAAUGUAUGUCCAAUUGGUGCAGGGGAAACUGCGGGUAAGCUAUUGACACUCCUCUAGCAGUCUCUCUUGUCGUGGACUUCGUUUCUUGCAAGGUAAAAAAUUAAGAUUAAUGUAAUAUCAUUUUUGAAGGUAAGAAAUGCCGUUUAAUUAAUAAUAAUGAAAUAGCUCCUGUAUCACAGUAAUAGUUGUUUUAAUAACUUGUAAGCUACAGCAAACAAGUGAAUAAAAGAAACUUUAGUUGUC